UUGGGAAUGUUUAUUCUGUGUGUGAGCAGGUUGCAUUUCAAACGUUUUAUAGGCAUGAUGGGUACUUGUUUAGAGAGAACAAGUUUUGUGUGCCUAAUUGUUCUAUGCAUGACAUACUUGUGCGUGAAUCACAAUGUGGGAGUUUGAUGAGUCAUUUUGGGAUGUAAAAAACAUGACAUACUUUGUGAACAUUUUUAUUGGCCUAAUAUGAGAAAAGAUGUUGAGAAAAUCUGCUCUAAAUGUGUUGCGUGUAGACAAGCAAAAUAAAAAAUCUAUCCACAUGGUUUAUACACACCUUUGCUUAUGCCUAAGCAUUCUUGGAUUGACAUAUCUAUGGAAUUUGUUUUAGAGCUGUCUAAGACCAAAAGAGUAGGGAUAGUAUAUUUAUGGUUGUUGAUAGAUUUAGUAAAAUGACACUUCAUUGCAUGUCAUGAUAUGGUAAUACCACAAAUAUUGCUGAUUUGUUCUUCAAGGAUGUUGUGCAUUUGCAUGGUGUUCCUAGGACAAUUGAUUCUGACCAUGAUGUAAAGUUCUUAAGUCAUUUUUGGCGUAUGCUUUGGGAAAAGUUAGAUACUAAACUUUUAUUUUCUACUACAUAUCAUCCUCAAACAGAUGACCAAACAGAGAGAAAUGAAGCAUACGCACAAAGAGUUAAUUAGGGGCGCAAGUUGAAGAGAUUUGAACCUAGAGAUUGUGUUUAGGUGCAUUUCAGGAAGGAGAGGUUUCCUAAGAAAAGGAAAUCAAAGUUGGAUCCUAGAGGCAAUGGGCCAUUUCAAGUGCUUGAAAGGAUUAAUAAUAAUACCUCUAGGAUUGAUUUACUAAGUGAGUAUCAAGUGUCUACUAUAUUUAAUGUUGCUAAUCUCUCUCCAUCUGAUAAUGUAGGGGCUGAUUAGAGAACGAAUCCUUUUGAGGAGGGAAUGAUACAACCAGUCUUGGUAAGAAGAUUCAACACCACAUUAUUCAACAAGACAAGCUUUCAAUGCCUAGUGGAUCUCUCUCCAUUUGACAAUGUAGGGGCUGAUUAAAGGACGAAUCCUUUUGAGGAGGGAGGGAAUGAUACAACCAGUCUUGGUAAGGAGAUUGAACACCACAUUACUCAACAAGACAAGCUUUCAGUGCCUAGUGGAUCUCUCUCCAUUUGAUAAUGUAGGGGUUGAUUAGAGGACGAAUCCUUUAGAGGAGGGAGGAAAUGAUACAACCAAUCUUUGUAAGGAGAUUCAACACCACAUUACUCAAUGCCUAGUGGACCAAUUACAAGAUAGUAAGCUUCAAAGCUCAAGCAAGCUAUGCAAAGAUUUGUUCAAGGCUUAAUUACAUCUCAAAUUCAUGAUGAGGUCGAGACAAACAUAGAGGAACACCAAGGCAUGCCAAAGCUUGUGAUUUUACUAAAGGAGACGUGUGGAGAGGCUAGUGCUUAGCCAACUUUUGAAGACAAGCUCAAUAUCUCGUAUAAAGGGGCUGAUUGUAUCAUUUGGACUUGUAACUAAGUUGCUUUUAUUUAUUUUAGCUUGAACUUGUUUUAUGGACUGUUUGUAUUAAGUCCAUUGUUAAAAGCAAAAGCUUUGUUUGGAAACACCUUUAAUUUUACUUUUAUUGUCAUAAUAUUAUGUAAUCAUCCAAACAUGCCCCUUAUUUAGAAAUUAGGUCAUCUUAUUCCCCUUAUUUAUCUAUAAAUAGAAUGAGAUGAGGCUGUAUGAGGACUUUUGAAUCUUUGAUGAACAAAUUUCCAGAUUUGGAUUUCUUCAAGUAAGGUGUGAAUUCCUUCUUGGUUACUUCAAAAAAUUGAUUUACUUCAAAAAAUUGAUUUGCAGCAAGUACUUGCAACGUGAAUUGAUUUCUAUUUUCUUUGAGAUUUUCUCAAUUACGUAUAAUUGGGAUUUGAUCUAACAUAUUAUUGAGAUAGAAAGUUGGGUAAUAAGCCAAUAGAUUGGGGGUUCAAGAACUCAGUUUUCUUAGGGUUUCCUUAUCAGAUGGGUUUUGUUAUUUUGUUAGUUUUCUUCGUAAAUAUGGUUAGUUUUGAGUAUAUUUCUUUGAUUUUAGAGAUUGAAAUGUAAUAUUUUGAACAAAUUGUGAUUGGGGGCUGAUUUAUUCAUAUCUAUAUAAUUUCUAAGCUUUGAUUCAUUUCCUUGCGUGCUUCUUUUACUUGCCCAAUGUCGGUACCUAUAAGGCAUUGUUUUUAAUCUUUGAUUGAAGGACCGAGAGGUGAAAAUCAUUGAUAGAUGAUCUUGGAUUUGGACUUGGAUACCUAGAUUUAGAGAUAAACUAGGAUUUAAGAGUAUUAAUAGGCUUUUAAAUAUGAUUACUGAGUUUCAGUUUAAUUAAAUACCAUGAAAAUGGGUUUUGUUAGGUUAAACAUGUUAGUUGUCUUGAGAAAAAAAACUAAUUUAAAUUAUAGUUUUGCCUCCCAAGAUAUAAAAUCGCUUUCCCACAUUUUAUACUUUAUUUUAGUCUAUUUUUCAUAGAUUUUAAUAUACUUUUACUUGCUUAUUUUAAUUAAUUAAUUUACUUGCAUUUAGUUACUUAUUAACUCAUCUUUAGCAUACUUGGAUUUAUUUUUAUCGCUAUAGUUAAAUUGUACUUAAAUAUUACAUUGUCAUUAGCUUUGACGGUGCUUCACCCAUAGUUUGGUACUUAAAACCUAAAUUUCUAGUGAAAAUGAUACUUACCGACUCCUUAUUACUUGAACAACCUAUGCUCCUUAUUACUUCAACAACCUAUGCACUUGCAAUGAGUAGGGGUGAACAGUAUUUGGUUCAAAUCGAAAAAACUGAUCGAACCGAAUUAAUUUGAAAAUUCAAUUUGAUUUUUUAUUCAUUUCAGUUUGAUUCGAUUUUAAAUUUCAAAAAUUUCAGUUAUUUCAAUUCAGUUCGUUUUUUGUUAGAAAAAUCGAAAAAAGAGAACCAAACCGAUUAGUAAUAAUAGUAUACUGUUUUCAAUAAUAUAAAGAGAUUAGAUCAUAUCAAGAUUAAAAUAUUUCAAUUAAAUUUUAAAA
rnacentral:lncRNA from 1 species